rnacentral:lncRNA from 1 species
UGCGGUCGCUGGUGCCUCACGUGAAGAACUGGGCGCGGGGGACUGCGCCCUCGGUACGACGUCCACCACGGGUGUUGGCGGUGUGGGACCCUGGGUCUCCCUCGAAGCUGCCGCCUGCUGCAGUAGGCGGUCCUCAAGAUGCUUCAUCCGCGCCUCCUGCCGCUGAGCCACCUCAGCCUGUCGCUGCGCCGCUGCCGUCUGCUGCGCCAACAGAUCAGUGAGAACCGCAAGCUGGGCCCUCAAGUCGCGGACCUCACUAGAUCCGGAAGUAGCGGAGGUCUCAACCUCCUCGGGGUGUGCCGCAUCAUCCGCCCCGGCAGACUGGGAGCGUGUAAUCGGCAUCGUCACUACAAAACAUAAAAGCGCAAGUUAGUAACCCACGCUAUCGCAUCCCCGCUCAAAUU